rnacentral:rRNA from 1 species
UACGUAGGGGGCAAGCGUUGUCCGGAAUCAUUGGGCGUAAAGCGCGUGUAGGCGGUUUGUUGCGUCGGCUGUGAAAUCCCGAGGCUCAACCUCGGGUCUGCAGUCGAUACGAGCAAACUAGAGUGUUGCAGGGGAGACUGGAAUUCCUGGUGUAGCGGUGAAAUGCGCAGAUAUCAGGAGGAACACCGGUGGCGAAGGCGGGUCUCUGGGCAACAACUGACGCUGAGGAGCGAAAGCGUGGGGAGCGAACAGG